rnacentral:rRNA from 1 species
ACGCCGCGUGAGUGAAGAAGGUUUUCGGAUCGUAAAACUCUGUUGUAAGGGAAGAACACGUACGAGAGUAACUGCUCGUACCUUGACGGUACCUUAUUAGAAAGCCACGGCUAACUACGUGCCAGCAGCCGCGGUAAUACGUAGGUGGCAAGCGUUGUCCGGAAUUAUUGGGCGUAAAGCGCGCGCAGGCGGUUCUUUAAGUCUGAUGUGAAAGCCCACGGCUCAACCGUGGAGGGUCAUUGGAAACUGGAGAACUUGAGUACAGAAGAGGAAAGCGGAAUUCCACGUGUAGCGGUGAAAUGCGUAGAGAUGUGGAGGAACACCAGUGGCGAAGGCGGCUUUCUGGUCUGUAACUGACGCUGA